rnacentral:rRNA from 1 species
UACGGAGGAUCCGAGCGUUAUCCGGAUUUACUGGGUGUAAAGGGAGCGUAGACGGCACAGCAAGUCUGAUGUGAAAACCCGCGGCUCAACUGCGGGAUUGCAUUGGAAACUGUUGAGCUUGAGUACUGGAGGGGCAGGCGGAAUUCCUGGUGUAGCGGUGGAAUGCGUAGAUAUCAGGAGGAACACCGGUGGCGAAGGCGGCCUGCUGGACAGUAACUGACGUUGAGGCUCGAAAGCGUGGGGAGCAAACAGGAUUAGAUA